rnacentral:tRNA from 1 species
GCCUGGUUGGCUCAAUGGUUGAGCAUCUGCCUUUGGCUCAGGUCUUGAUCCCAGGAUCCUAGGAUCAAGUCCUGCAUCAGGCU